AGCAGCAGCCGCGGUAAUACGUAGGUGGCAAGCGUUGUCCGGAAUUAUUGGGCGUAAAGGGCUCGCAAGCGGUUUCUUAAGUCUGAUGUGAAAGCCCCCGGCUCAACCGGGGAGGGUCAUUGGAAACUGGGAAACUUGAGUGCAGAAGAGGAGAGUGGAAUUCCACGUGUGGCGGUGAAAUGCGUAGAGAUGUGGAGGAACGCCAGUGGCGAAGGCGACUCUCUGGUCUGUAACUGACGCUGAGGAGCGAAAGCGUGGGGAGCGAACAGGAUUAGAUACCCCUGUAGUCCCUGUCUCUUAUAA
rnacentral:rRNA from 1 species